GGGGAUGAAUGAUCAAGCAAAAACUUAACUAUAUGGUUGCCACACACACUUCCUUUUAUAGAGGAAGUGCACGGCAAAGAGGGUGAAUUGGUGGUGUGUGCAAUGAUUCAAGGGUGAAAAUGAAGUAAUGAUGCAAAGCAUGGGGGUAAAAUGGAAUGGUGUUGCAUCAAUGAGUGCAAGGACUGGUGUUGAAAUGAUUCAAAGGUGAAAGUGAAGUGAUGAUGCAAAGCAUGGGGGUAAAAUGGAGUGGUGUUGCAGCUAGGGAACAUGAAUGAUUGUGCACAUGGUAUUGAAAGGAAAGGGAGGUGGAAUGGUGCAGAAAUGAGUCAAAGGUGUAGCAAAUGUCAUGAUGCACGACAUGGGAUUCCAAAGGUGGUGGAUGGUGCAUCAAUGAGUGCAUGUAGUGGAGGUAAAAGUUGUAUGAAAUCUGAUGGGUGAAGGGAACAAGGAGUGUGCAACAAUUGAGUGUAAUGAUUCAAUGUAUUGAUGCAUGAAAUCAGAAAUAAUGAAGGAGACAAGGGUGGUGCAUGGCAAUGAAGUGUAAUGAGUGUAAUAGUGCAUGAAAUGAGUGCAAGAAAUCUGGUGCAUGAAGGGGACAAGGGUGAUUAUGCAUGGUAUGGGUGGAAAGGUGAGUAAGUGGUGAAUCAAUGAGUGCAAGGAGGUGAAAGGAUAUUGUGCACAUGGUAGACAAAGGAAAGGAAGUCGAAUGAUGCAACAAAUGGGUCAAUGGAGGGAACAUGGAUGAUGAUGCACGACAUAGGAAUCCAAAGGGAGUGCAAUGGUGGUGCACGUCAAUGGUGGAGUGACACCCGUUUGUGGCUGAGCUCUUUGUCCUUUUUACACUAAUUCUUCUUUCUCUUUAACACAUUCCUAGCCUCUUUGGUCUUCAAUUUUGUCCAUCCACCAUGCUCCAUGCAUGUGCUAUCCAUUCCAAGCCCAAAACUGCUCCAAAAUGCAUCAAAAUGCAUCUUAUUGCUUUAUAAGGCCCAUGGACCUACAAACAUACGAAAAUAGCUUAAAAUACAUAAUUAACUAAGAAAUAACAACAUAAAUGCAUGAGAACAAGCUAACUCAGUCGCAUAAAUAUGCUCCUAUCAAGUAAUUAAGUGACUCGAUCGACACCAUGGGCAUUGUACUCCAUGUCCCAAUAUAUGAUUUGAAACUUUGUACUCACAUGAUCUCCGUGUAACAUGAGGUUCAACGGUUUUAUUGAUCGGUUUAAUCUGUCAGUUUCCAAUGGGCUCGGAGGUGUGCUUGAAGUCUACUUGUUGCUUUGUUAUUAGCGAUGCUUUAUUGUAUCAUUUUAAGAUCUAGUUUGCGAGAAUCCUUGAGGGGGCGAGUUAUUCUUGAUACGCAUUUGUAACGAUAUUUUUUCAAAGAAUGAAACAUCAUACUUUUCUUCUAAAUAGAGGAUUGCCGCCAACCCAUUGCCAAAGACAAGGUUCAUCAGCUUUCUAGCCACGAGUUAAAUAGAGGUAACUGGAUAUAAGAUCAUUUAUGCACUCAAUUCUUAAGUUUGGUCCUGCAAAUUUUGCUUAUUAAUUGUGAUCCAUUGACUUUUGAUCAAACUUUCCUAUUAUGUGAUGAUAAGUCAUCAAUAUAUAUAAAGUGAGAGUAACAAAAUGCUAAAGCAUUUCAUAGUGCCAAAAAUGCCCUCACUCCAUACACAAGACCAACGGAUAACCGUCCAAUAAAAAUAGGGUCAAAAUCAUAAUAUAAUACAAUUCAUAAAUGAUAUAAACCAAAAUACAAAAUACAAAAUGCAGAAUUCUUCACUGCGAAUAACAUAUGCGCCCAUCAACAAUGACAAUUGCCAACCACCAAAUCAAAAUACCCACGCUUGAAAUUCAUUGUGACCCUUUAAAUUAUUCGUCCCACAAAUCUUACAUCACAUUCUAUCUUUCCACCCAAAAAAACAAAAUAACAAGUAAAAUAAAAACUGACAGACACUCCAGAUAAGAAUGAAAUUGUCGAACACAUCCCACACAGAGAACCGUAGCAGUUGCAGAGGUUGCAAAGAUCAGAGAAGAAAUCGCCAUCUACCACAUGUUCUAGAGGGAACAACCGGUCACUCCAUCCCACAAUACAUACAAAAGUGAAAACGAACUCACUUUGGUUUUCUGCACAUACCCCCUCUCCUCCACUUUUUUUUUUGGGAGUUUAUUCUACAUCUAUACUCGAUUUAGACAAGAUUUCAGGUGACUUUUUUUUUUUUCCUAAUUCCUUCAAUUCUUUGGAUUUACAAUCGAUCUUCUCUAAUUGGGAAGUCCGCUCUGGAAUAUUGUUGGCAAAAUAAUACAUUUGAAGCCCAUAUGAAUCAGUCCUAUUAGGCCUCAUUAAUAUCGAAAUUCAGUUCUGGAGUAUUGUUGCCUUUGAAACCUUAGUUGUUGCCAUUUGCGUUUCUUUCUCUAUAGGUCUGUUUGUGAGUUUGCAAUUUGCAUGAACACUUAUAUAUCUUGGCUACUUCAUUAAUUUCUGCAAUUUUAAAUUUACCAUAUGGGUUUUUUUUAUUCAAUUCUUUCAUUUGUGUCAUUUUAAUCGGUGGUAAUCUGUUUCUUUAGUCACAAGUCAUAUAGGUUUAUUUUAAGGUUUUUUUUAUUAACACCCCACAAAAUGUUAAAUGCACUCCACAUUAAAAUUUAAUAUUAAAUGACUUAUUUACCCCACUAUGCAAUGACAAUUUUGACCUUAUUGGGUUUUAAAAAAAUAAAAUAAAAAUCUCUAAAUACACCCUAAAUCACUUUUAGCGUAUUAUUUAUCUUCUCAACUAUCAAAACCCACCCACCCUCCAUUGUUAAACAAAACCCUAACCAAUGAAACUGCAAACAUGUUGAUUGAGAAAAAUUGCUUUUGAUGAAUGGAACACGAAAUCGAUGUUUCGAAAGCUUCACAUGAAGUAAGACUUCAUAUUUUUCAUUAUUUUAGUGAUUUUGACGACAUCGAUAAUUAUUUAAUCUUGCGUUUGUUGCGUUAUUUAAACUUCUAUAUUCAUAUUCAUCUUUUAGGGAUCACAAGGAUCCCUAUUGCUGUUCAUCAGUUUCUUUGCUGCUAGGGUUUUGUUGAUUUUUGGGCUUUGUUUUUCUCUGAGAAACUCUAUAAUCUAGUUACUGGCAUGAAAUAUUUAUUCUGAAAGUAAACCAUAUAUGAAGUUCACUGGAUAUUAGUAAGUAUAAUGCCAUAAAUUAAGUUGUCACAAGGUUGACUCUUCCCAAUUUAUGUAUUGUCUGAAAGGUUGACUUUUCCCAAUUUAUUUUUAAGAUUCAAAUGCAUUGGAACUCUACUGGAUGAGCAUGCCAGAUGUGGGCUAUCUUAUAGCUUCAUGUUAUCAUGUAGUGGUGGUUUUUUUUUUAUCCCGUUUGCAAUGCCUCUCAUUCCUACCUUUAUAUGUAUUAGGAGAUGAUGAGCCCACUAAUCUUCCUGAGAUUGCAAUUGGUUUAGUCAAUGACAAUCACUUUAUACAGAUACUAAGAGUUGACUUACUUUUUUUGCAACAUUGAACGUUGUUUUUUGAAAGCUAAUCGAGUCCUUUUGUUUUGUACAGGUACGUUUGGCACCAAGACAUCCCAUGCCACCGGUUGCACAAAAUUGGCAUACUCUUGCAGUAAAUAACGCUCGACACCUUUAUGCCAAUCACCAAGAUCGUGUGGAACAAUUUAAGCUAUUACCAGGUCUAAAUAAUGUAGCCACCACUAAAAUGAUAUGUUUUGAUUGUGACUGAUUUAUGUUUUACAAACUGAACUGAAAUAUAUUGAUUGCCAGGGGAGAGUACAUUUGUAAAAACAAGGUUUAUUUUAAUGGUAUCUAGCGGGCAUGCAAAGCAACCUAGAAAAAUAUUUGAGCUAAUUCCCCAAGCCAUAAAGGGCUGCACAAAUAAACCGUCAUCUGCAACAAAAUGGCAACAUCAGUUUUACUGUUCGUACUUCUAAAACAUAACACUUAUUAACCAACCAAAAAGGGCUGCACAAAUAAACCUUCAUUUAAAUUGUGUAAAGUUUGCAACACAUACACCUUUCCAUCUGAUGUAAGCUUCCUUGUAACAGAAUGGCCCUACAUAACCAACACAAUAAUCUUAAUUAUGAUAAUAAGUUCAUAAUUAAUUCUUUUUGAUACCUUUCAUGAUGCUUACUUAGAAGAAGUGAGAAAGAGAUUGAAUUAAUAACAGCCACAAAAUGAUCUAUUCAACAAUAACAAAAACCACAUAUUGAGAAAAUAAAAUGGGCAGAAAUGAAUAUAUUAUGAACAAUAGCAUACAAUCCUGUUCCAUUAAACUUGAAGAUAGUAACAUGGUUAUCACGGACAUGAGAUUAAUCCCUCAAGCAACACAAUGAGCAAACCCACUCCAUACACUUGCUCCAUAUUUGGCUGUAAGAAAACGGAAAAGGGUGACUCUAAGUGUUGUAAAACUUUUUGCAUCAAUUUCUUGUGGAGGAAUAUAAGGAGUAUAUUGAGAAAUGUGGGGUGCAUAGAAGAUGUGGGGUGUAUGCACAAAAUAUAAGGUGUAUAUUGAGAAUGUGGGGUGUGGGGGUGUUAUGGGAAAAUAUGUGGGGUGUAUUAAGAUAAUUUUUAAGUGAAAAAGCAAAUGUGGGAUGCAUUAAGUAUACGAGCUUUAUUCAACAAUUUGUGGGAUGUUAAUAUAAUAAGCCUUAUUUUAAUAGAAAACUUUAUUUUAAUCUUUGGCAAAUAUGACUUUUAAAUUAAAACCAUGAGUAAGAUCAAAAUCUAAUUUUUGUCCAUUGAUACAUUAAUAACCUCAUUUAUUAAUCAUAUUUUGAUUUUUUUAAUUAUUUCACUUUUUCUUCCUAAUUUUUAAUGUAUUAAUUUUAUUUCAUUAUAAUUUUUAUUUUUCAUUUCAUUUAUUGUAAUAUAUUUUGUUGUAAACAUUUAGAUAAACUAAUCUUUGUUAUACAAUAUAUUUCAAUGUGCUUUGUCUUCUUCAUUUAGGUAUAUUAAAUUCAUUAUAAUACAUUUCGGUGCAUACAUUUAGGUACACACAUUUCAGUACAUACAUUUCGAUACAAACAUUUAUGUACAUUAAUUCAAUAUAAUACAUUUUUGUGCAUACAUUUUGGUACACACAUUUAGGUACAUUAAUUUAAUAUAAUACAUUUCGGUGCAUAUAUUUUUGGUAUAUGCAUUUCGGUACUAACAUUUAAAUACAUUAGUUCAACAUAAUACAUUUCGGUACACAUAUUUUGGUACUAACAUUUCGGUACAUUAAUUGGAGAAAUUUUUCAUUAUGACUGGAACACGAGUAGUAUACCACGUGUUUUUAUAUAAGUGGUGGUAAAUUUUAUUUUUUAAGUUAUUAAUUUUUUAACACACACACCCCACUAUUUAUAUAGUGACACGUGGUGUACCACCCCG
rnacentral:lncRNA from 1 species